UGGGGAAUAUUGCACAAUGGGCGCAAGCCUGAUGCAGCCAUGCCGCGUGUGUGAAGAAGGCCUUCGGGUUGUAAAGCACUUUCAGCGAGGAGGAAGGUGGUGAGCUUAAUACGCUCAUCAAUUGACGUUACUCGCAGAAGAAGCACCGGCUAACUCCGUGCCAGCAGCCGCGGUAAUACGGAGGGUGCAAGCGUUAAUCGGAAUUACUGGGCGUAAAGCGCACGCAGGCGGUUUGUUAAGUCAGAUGUGAAAUCCCCGGGCUCAACCUGGGAACUGCAUUUGAAACUGGCAAGCUAGAGUCUCGUAGAGGGGGGUAGAAUUCCAGGUGUAGCGGUGAAAUGCGUAGAGAUCUGGAGGAAUACCGGUGGCGAAGGCGGCCCCCCUGGACGAAGACUGACGCUCAGGUGCGAAAGCGUGGGGCAGCAAACAGGAUUAGAUACCCUGGUAGUCCACGCUGUAAACGAUGUCGAUUUGGAGGUUGUGCCCUUGAGGCGUGGCUUCCGGAGCUAACGCGUUAAAUCGACCGCC
rnacentral:rRNA from 1 species